CCGCCUCCUCCUCCGCUCUCCCUGCUCCGCACCUAUCCGCGCUCCCCGGUACAGGUUGGACGUGCAGGUGUGGAGGCGCGCACCAGCAGCACAGUGCGGCUGAGCCCGGGCAUAGGGAUACAGUACAGAGUUCCAGCGCCUGCAGCCGCAACAAACAGGAGUACGAGGAGGGCAGCGAUUGCGGGUGACAUACAUAACAUAUCGCGAGAGUGGCGUGCUAUGUAAUUUGCUGAAGGGUGCACUAUUGUAGGCGUGAAAAAGGGAGCAAUCCUGAAACGUUGCUAUCGGGGCACAUAGACGUGUGUGCUCUGUUCUGUCAUCUGGAGGAAAGGCUGGAUAAUCGGCAGGAGGACAUGGAAGCUCCGGUGGGAGCAAUGGACUUUACGAGACAAGCCGAGUCCAUUAAAUGUCAGUAAAGUGAUCGAUCUGCACACGGGUGAUAUUUAUCUUUUUUUGUACCGAAUAUGUAAUGGAAUUACUAUUUAUGAUGAAAUGAA